rnacentral:rRNA from 1 species
AGUGAACGCUGGCGGUAGGCCUAACACAUGCAAGUCGAACGGCAGCACAGUAAGAGCUUGCUCUUACGGGUGGCGAGUGGCGGACGGGUGAGGAAUACAUCAGAAUCUACUUUUUCUUGGGGGAUAACGUAGGGAAGCUUACGCUAAUACCUCAUACGACCUACGGGUGAAAGCAGGAGAUCUUCGGACCUUUGGCGAUUGAAUGAGCCGAUGUCGGAUUAGCUAGUUGGCGGGGUAAAGGCACACCAAGGCGACGAUCCGUAGCUGGUCUGAGAGGAUGAUCAGCCACACUGGAACUGAGACACGGUCCAGACUCCUACGGGAGGCAGCAGUGGGGAAUAUUGGACAAUGGGCGCAAGCCUGAUCCAGCAAUACCGCGUGAGUGAAGAAGGCCUUCGGGUUGUAAAGCCCUUUUGUUGGGAAAGAAAAGCAGCAGGUUAAUCCCCCGCUGUUCUGACGGUACCCAAAGAAUAAGCAACGGCUAACUUCGUG